UAGAUUUAGAUUUUUGAGUUUUUUUUUUUUAAAAUUAAAUUAAAUUAGUGUUAGCAGAGAAGCUUCAAAUCCGCGAAUAGAUUUGUAAAAGUUCAGAUUUCGAAAGUUUUGAUCGAUCAGUUUUGAUAAGAGCAGCUUGAAAUCUGUAAAUUUAUAGUCAACUACUUUGUUUUUGGAGGGUUUUUUAUUUGUUAAGCCAUGGAAGAGGAGAAUCAGAACAGUAAAAGCAAUAGAACGAAUUGCAGUAGCAGUAUGUCCGAUGUCGUUUUAGGCUGCGUGAUGCCCUACAUCCACGACCCACGGGACCGCGACGCCGUUUCACUGGUUUGCCGCCGGUGGUAUGAGCUUGAUGCCCUUACACGAAAGCAUAUAACCAUCGCUUUCUGUUAUACCACAAGCCCGGAUCGGCUACGACGUCGCUUCAAGCACCUCGAAUCCUUGAAGCUGAAAGGGAAGCCGAGGGCUGCUAUGUUUAAUUUAAUACCGGAGGAUUGGGGAGGCUUCGUUACUCCCUGGGUUAAUGAAAUUGCGGAAUCGUUUAAUUGCUUGAAAUCCCUUCACUUUAGACGCAUGAUUGUGACGGAUUCGGAUCUGGAGGUUCUCGCUAAGUCUCGCGGCCGGGUUCUACAGGUGUUUAAGCUUGAUAAUUGUUCUGGGUUUUCUACUGAUGGGCUUUUACACGUGGGUCGCCUGUGCAGGCAACUAAGAACAUUAUUUUUGGAAGAGAGUUCGAUUCUUGAGAAAGAUGGUUACUGGCUACAUGAGCUUGCCUUGAAUAAUACGGUUCUUGAGACUCUAAAUUUAUACAUGACGGACCUCAAUAAAGUCAGAUUUGAAGACCUUGAACUCAUAGCCAAAAACUGUCGCAACUUAGUCUCUGUCAAGAUUAGUGAUUGUGA
rnacentral:misc_RNA from 1 species